rnacentral:rRNA from 1 species
AGAGUUUGAUCCUGGCUCAGAAUCAACGCUGGCGGCGUGCCUCAGACAUGCAAGUCGAACGCGAAAGUUUCCUUCGGGGAACAAGUAGAGUGGCGCACGGGUGAGUAACACGUAGGUAAUCUACCUUUGGAUGGGGAAUAACAACCGGAAACGGUUGCUAAUACCGCAUAAUGCAGCGGCACCUAAUGGUGACAGUUGUUAAAGCGGGGGAUCGAAAGACCUCGCGUCUGAAGAGGAGCCUGCGGCGGAUUAGCUAGUUGGUAAGGUAACGGCUUACCAAGGCGAUGAUCCGUAGCCGGCCUGAGAGGGCGGUCGGCCACACUGACACUGACAUACGGGUCAGACUCCUACGGGAGGCAGCAGUCGGGAAUUUUGGGCAAUGGGCGAAAGCCUGACCCAGCAACGCCGCGUGAAGGAUGAAAUCCUUCGGGAUGUAAACUUCGCAAGAACGGGAAGAAUAAGUAAGGGUUAAUAUCUCUUACGAUGACGGUACUGUUUGUAAGCUCCGGCUAACUCCGUGCCAGCCGCCGCGGUAAUUC